AAGGAUGGAAAGGCCUAAUACAUAAUGAUUCUAUUUAUUUGCUUUUAUUCAUUUGUGUUUUGUAGCUCAAAGUUUGAGUCUACAAGCUCAGCUAGGGGAAAAGAACAAAUUGGAACGGAACAGUUUCCAAACAGUGAAGGAGGUUUUUCCAAACUCAAACCUAACUGAACAUGAGGAUGAAUUGGCAUUAGGCGAACACAGUCAGUUAUUCAGUCUACCACCUGACAGUGUGUUAAAUUUAAAUUCUGUUAGUGCUGCACAAAAAGAAUUGUUAGUAAUAAGCCCAUGCAGUGAAGGAAGUGAACAAUUGUGGGACCGUAUUUGGGCCGAAAAUGGGUGUGGUACGGAAACCAAGAUAUGGCACAAGUUCAACAUGAAACAUGGAUUAGAAUUUAAUGGGGGAUCAAAUCAAGUCUGGAAGUGUUACAGGAUGGAAGAGUCAGCCUACAGAUGAAAAAACACUGAGAGUGCAUUACCAUUAAGGUAUGAGGUAAAGUAAUAGAGUAUGCACAUUGUCUAAUGAGAAGUACCAUCUUGUGUUAAUAAAUCCAGUACAACAGCAAUCCUUUAUAGUUCUGUCACAGCUAGAAACCUCAAAUAAUUCUGCUUCUCUGUCUAAAGAACAACUUGUCCUUUACGUUCAGAGUGUUGGGGAAACUGGGUACUUAAAUGGCCCUAAAGAUGUUUUAAUUUUGCUGUCAUUGCAGAGAUGAACAUCAUACAUGGACUCUUUAGGUCUAAUCUACCAAAAAAAAUUUUAUCCAAUAGGAAAGGAUUUUCAUGUACUGGGAACACAACUAUCAACAAUGCAACAUUGUACAGGUGCUAGUUUAUCAUUCAAGAGCCUUAUACAAUGAUGUUAAUCUGCAAUUUGUAUGUCCUUCCCCAAGCUUCCACCAGAAGUUGAAUCUAUGAGUCAUGUAAGUUACAUGAUCAACAGUUGAUAUGUUUAACGGUGUUGUUUUUCUUUUCUCAAUAUAGGUUAAUAGUAACAUUGGAUCUGAAAAAAUUCUUGGUUGGGGCAAG